CCUCCAGUGAGGAGCUGCAGCAGGGGAAGGCCACGCUCAUGUGCCUGGCCAACAAGGGCUUCCCCUCAGACUGGAGUCUGUCCUGGAAGGUGGACGGCAGCAGCAGCAGCAGCAGCAGCAGCAUGAGCUGGGAGGAGAGCAGGAGCCCCGGGGUGCUGGAGAAGGACGGCCACUACAGCUGGAGCAGCACCCUGAGGCUCCCUGCAGACCAGUGGAGGAAGGUGGUCUCUGUGAGCUGUGAGGCCACCCAGGGCUCCCACACUCCGCUCUCACAGACACUGAGGAGAGACCAGUGUUCCCAGUCCUGACCUCACUCACUGGGACUCUCAUACUGCUUUGACUCUCUGUCUGCUCUCUGGAACUCUCUCUCUUUCUGUCUCUCAUCAAAGUAAAUAAAGAUUCAAAUAGUCCUGUUUUCCUUCUCAUCAUGUCACAGCUCAUGUUUUCACAAAAUAAA